UGACCCCCCACAAUGGGACUGAGACACGGCCCAUACUCCUACGGGAGGCAGCAGCAGGGAAUAUUGCACAAUGGACGGAAGUCUGAUGCAGCGACGCCGCGUGGAUGAUGAAGGCCCUCGGGUCGUAAAAUCCUUUUCAGGGGGAAGAGGAAGGACGGUACCCCUGGAAUAAGCGUCGGCUAACUACGUGCCAGCAGCCGCGGUAAGACGUAGGACGCAAGCGUUAUCCGGAUUUACUGGGCGUAAAGCGUCUGUAGGCGGUUGGGUAAGUUGGGCGUGAAAGCUCCGUGCUCAACGCGGAGAGGUCGUUCAAUACUGCCGAACUAGAGGACAUCAGAGGAGCAUGGAAUUUCCGGUGUAGCGGUAAAAUGCGCAGAUAUCGGAAGGAACACCAGUGGCGAAGGCGGUGCUCUGGGGUGUGCCUGACGCUGAGAGACGAAAGCUAGGGGAGCGAACAGGAUUAGAGACCCUGGUAGUCCUAGCCCUAAACGAUGGAUGCUAGAUGUGGGGCCGAGAAGGCUCCGUGUCGCAGUUAACGCGGUAAGCAUCCCGCCUGGGGAUUACGGCCGCAAGGCUAAAACUCAAACGAAUUGACGGGGCCCCGCACAAGCAGCGGAGCGUGUGGUUUAAUUCGAUGCUACACGAAGAACCUUACCUGGGUUUGACAUGUAAGUGGUAGUGAAGCGAAAGCGGAGCGACCCUUCGGGGAGCUUACACAGGUGCUGCAUGGCUGUCGUCAGCUCGUGCCGUGAGGUGUCGGGUUAAGUCCCGUAACGAGCGCAACCCUUGCCCUUAGUUACAAGUGUCUAAGGGGACUGCCGGGGGUAAGCCGGAGGAAGGUGGGGAUGACGUCAAGUCAGCAUGGCCCUUAUAUCCAGGGCUACACACACGCUACAAUGGUCAGUACAAAGGGCAGCGAAGCCGCGAGGUGAAGCGAAUCCCACCAAAGCUGAUCUAAGUUCGGAUUGCAGGCUGCAACUCGCCUGCAUGAAGCUGGAGUUGCUAGUAACCGCGCGUCAGCCAUAGUGCGGUGACACGUUCCCGGGGCUUGUACACACCGCCCGUCACGUCAUGGGAGUCGUAACGCCUGAAGCUGGUAGUCU
rnacentral:rRNA from 1 species